AGAAGGAGAACACGGAAAAGUGAGAGAACGAAAGGAACUGAGUCUCUCUCCCCUCCUCCUCCUCCUCCUCCUCCUCCUCCUCCUCCUCCUCCUCCUCCUCCUCCUCCUCCUCCUCGUCUCGAUACCGCCCGCUGGUGUUAUGUAACGUUACCCCCUGCCGCGCGGAGCCACGCGCGCGCACACACACUCACACACACGCGCACCUCCACCCCUGCUUGUUAGGCUGCACCACCCGACGUUGGCCUAUGAAUCCACCGGCUCCCGUCCCGCCGUGUUUGUGUUCAGUCGAGAACGCCACAGCCUUCGGAACGCCAGACCUGCGCCGCUCGUUAAUAUUUGAUGAGCGACGGUCCGGUCUAGUCCUGAUUCAACACCAGGUUCACAUCAGGCAGUUGGUGGUGGGCGUCUUAGGGGAAAGAAUGGAUUUUGUAGAAUUGCUCUCUUUUAAAGUCAGGAUUCUGACCUUUAAAUGGGACACGGUGAAACCACAACAGGGCUUGGAACCUAACUUUGACCACAAACAGGUUUAUUUUGACGACGCUUCCAAGCGUGUGUCUACGGGAACGUCUUGUCUUCGGAUACUCCGAGGAGGAGGUCUGAAAGCCCGGGGUUCUGCCGGCGGCAUCGGCGGAGGUGAAGGGAGAGAACGGAGGAGAGGGAGAACGAGGGAGAGGGGGAGAGGUGGGCACUCGGUGGGAACAAUGCAGGGAGUGCCCAGAGGGAGGGUGUUCGGUUGGUCACCAGCCACCCUGGGGGGGCUGGCAGAAUGGUACCGGCGCCACGGUAUUAACUGGAACACCGAACCUGAACCCAAAACUUAGUUUAGUUAGAGCUCCUCUGUUCGGCUGUAAUGCUAAGUUCAUCUCAAGGUCUUGGUACCUUCGUGUGUCUCCUCACAGAGUUAGCUUAGGAGGGGUAUUGGAAUUUCAGCUUAUAUUCCUAGCUGGCUAACUUUUCUACACACACGUAUACAAACGCACACACACACACACACACAAACUACACACAAACUACACACACAUCUUCCAAACACACGUACCAUCUGGCUGACUUCUUGCUAAUUCUUCUGACUAAUUGCAAAACAUCAGCAGCUGCGCAAACCAAAAAAAUAUUUAAUAAUAGAUUUCUCCCGAAAAUGACGCAUUACUGUAACUGUAAUUUCCAGAAAGAGGCGGCGGUUGCCAUGGCGGCCAACAUCAGCGAUACGGUCUCCAGGGGCCUCCUAUUGGGACGAUUAACUCGGCGACUGGACGGACCGGUUCUCAGGCAGCGGCCGGCCAUCGCACGCUGCGCCCGAUCACGCCUCUAUUGUCUGUCGGUUUGUUGUUCGCCUCCAGCGUGACUCCCCUGGCCCGCCCCGCGGAGGUCUGCGCUCAAACCCGGCGGUAAAACCAGGCGUCAGAACCAGGCGGUAAAACAAUGCUUUUAAGCCAGGCAUUAUAACCAGCCGGUAAAACCAGGCAAUAUAACCAGGCGGUAAAACCGGGCAUUUGACCAGGCGGUAAAAUCAGGCGUCAAAACCAGGCAUUAUAAUCAGGCGGUAAAACCAGGCUGUAAAAACCAGGCUUUAGAAACAGGCGUCAAAACCCGGCGGUAUCUUCCUGAAAGAAUGCAGUGGUCCUGGGGUGUGGCGGUCUCCUGUGUCACAAGGCAGCGCUGAUUCACCCCCACCCCCAUCCUCCCCAUGCAAGAGCCGUUUGAGUUCAGACGGUUUGACGUUUGACGAGUGUCAAGGUGGUGUGAGGUGGAGGAGGAAGUGUGGUUGUGAAACGUCUCGACUCUCUGGGAAUACCCUCGGGUGAAGUGCUGCCGUGCGUCGCGUCGCUCUCGCUGCCAUAGACGGAGGCAGAUGCAUUUUCUGAUAGGAGCGACUGGCGUGCUUGCGCUGGGGCUCUUGCGCAAUGCGAGACACGCACAUUCACGUAUACACAUGCACGCACGCACACACCCAAGCACGUACGCACACGAACGUACGCAUGUGUGAAUGUCUCCCCUCGCCAAAAACACAGAUUAAGCAUACGAUUAGUAAGCUUCAUUUUUUCAGAAACACAUAGUCAUGCAACACACACACACACACACACACACACACACACACACACACACACACACACACACACACACACACACACACACUCUUAAACUCCUAAAACGUGCACACACACUCCAACCUAGGCGUACACACACUCCUCAGUGGGGUUCC